rnacentral:rRNA from 1 species
AUGUCAGCGCGCCAUGAGCAAUGUCAGAGGCUGAAAAGGCAGAUUGAUCUGUGUGAGAUCCCCUACUCUGGUGACGUUGUUGAAGAGGUCGGAGUAGAGUCUCCGGAGCUCGGGGCGCUGGCCCGGCGGCCUCGCCUGGAUGAUGGCGUACAGGUCCUGCUUGAGGUUGGCGGCGCUGGCCCGCAGCGCCGUCUGCAGCUCCCGCCACGACCUGGCGUCGAUGUACUGCUUGACGCGCACCAGGUUCCUCGCGUGCGUCCUCACCACGGCCUCGGCCUCCUCGCUCGACUGCUCCGGGAUGGUGAUCCGAAGGUCUAG